UCAAGGGCAUUUUCUCUUCAGCAUAAGGCAGCAUGACCUCUUCAAGUAUUCUGAUGUAUUCAAACUGAUCCAUGAUCCCUGGUAUGCGAUAAAUAGGCCCAACAUCUUAGUAUGAGACACAUCCUCAUAUCAUGAUGCUUGCCCAUCAUGCUU